UAGGGAAUAUUGGUUAAUGGGCGAAAGCCUGAACCAGCAACGCCGCGUGUGCGAUGACGGCCUUCGGGUUGUAAAGCACUUUUUGAGGGGAUGAGGAAGGACAGUACCCUCAGAAUAAGUCUCGGCUAACUACGUGCCAGCAGCCGCGGUAACACGUAGGAGACUAGCGUUAUUCGGAUUUACUGGGCGUAAAGCGCGUGCAGGCGGUUCGGUUAGUUGGAUGUGAAAGCUCCUGGCUUAACUGGGAGAGGUCGUUCAAUACUGCCGGACUUGAGAGUGGUAGAGGGAGUUGGAAUUCCGGGUGUAGUGGUAAAAUGCGUAGAUAUCCGGAAGAACACCAGUGGCGAAAGCGGACUCCUGGACCAUUUCUGACGCUCAGACGCGAAAGCUAGGGGAGCGAACGGGAUUAGAGACCCCGGUAGUCCUAGCUGUAAACGAUGUAGACUUGGCGUUGGAGGGGUUAAAUCCUUCAGUGCCGAAGCAAACGCGAUAAGUCUACCGCCU
rnacentral:rRNA from 1 species